rnacentral:rRNA from 1 species
AAUAGAUACCCUGGUAGUCCACGCCGUAAACGUUGGAUACUAGGUGUGGCGGUUAUACCAAUGACUGCCGUGCCGAAGCUAACGCAUUAAGUAUCCCGCCUGGGGAGUACGGCCGCAAGGCUAAAACUCAAAGGAAUUGACGGGUCCCCGCACAAGCGGCGGAGCAUGCGGCUUAAUUCGAUGCAACCCGAAGAACCUUACCUGGGUUUGACAUCACGGGAAAAGCUGUAGAAAUACAGUGUCCAUUAGGGCCCGUGACAGGUGGUGCAUGGCUGUCGUCAGCUCGUGUCGUGAGAUGUUGGGUUAAGUCCCGCAACGAGCGCAACCCUUGUCCUAUGUUGCCAGCGGUUCGGCCGGGGACUCAUAGGAGACUGCCGGGGAUAACUCGGAGGAAGGUGAGGACGACGUCAAGUCAUCAUGCCCCUUAUAUCCAGGGCUGCACGCAUGCUACAAUGGCCGGUACAACGGGCAGCGACCCCGCGAGGGUGAGCGAAUCCUAAAAGCCGGUCCUAGUUCGGAUUGAAGUCUGCAACUCGACUU